rnacentral:rRNA from 1 species
GGACUACCCGGGUAUCUAAUCCUGUUUGAUCCCCACGCUUUCGUGCCUCAGCGUCAAUGUCAGUCCAGAUAGCCGCUUGCGCCACUGGUGUUCCUCCCAAUAUCUACGCAUUUCACUGCUACACUGGGAAUUCCGCUAUCCUCUCCUGAAUUCUAGUCCAGUAGUUUCAAGAGCACUUCCAAGGUUGAGCCUUGGGCUUUCACUCCUGACUUUCUGAACAGCCUACGCACGCUUUACGCCCAGUGAUUCCGAAUAACGCUCGCCCCCUUCGUAUUACCGCGGCUGCUGGCAC